CUCAUUUGGAAACACAGGAAGCUCGGCGAGCUUCUUGCUUUGACGUGUGACGUCAUCUUCAUUGAUACAGUAACCCGCGAUAAUGACUUCUACGACUUUGAUGGUAUUAAUAGGAAGUUUAUACAUGAAGUAUCGUGAAAGUGACGCGUAUGUCCUUGUUGGCGUUCACUCUACGAGAUGAGAGACCAGCUAAAGAACGCGCCUCCCAUUGAUGACAUCCUGUCCCUUCCAGGACCCAUCUACCGAAGACCUCAUUUCCUAUUCUGGCUUCCCUGGUCCAUCCCCUUCCGAUUUUUAAGAUGCCAGACACACUCUGUUAAUCAUUUUUCUAGGCUCUUUGCCCGCUCACAAGGUCUCGCCACGGGGAUGGCUUGAGCAGCUUGCCACAGCUCUCGCAAUUCUGGUCCUGGUUUCUCAGCCUCUGUCUCCUUCACAGCCAAAACGAGUACAGAUGAGGAUCUCAGCCAGUCAUCUCAAAAGUUCAAAGGAAACAAGAACAACAUGCCAGUUAAGAACAAAUGAAAUGCUAGAAAAGCAGAAGAGCAUUGUUUUCAAAAUGCUGAAAGAAUGAAGGAGCUUCACCAGUCACGAUACGGCAGGCACACCUAAUGAAGAAGAGAUGAAGAUGAGGACAGUGAUCUCGCUAAGGUGCAAGACUGGCUUUCCUUGGAUCCAUCAGCUGAGGCGAUAAGAGAAGAGAAGGCAAAGAAAGAUGAAACAGCUGACAGAAGUGUAGCUGCACUGCAGCACGAGUGAUCUCGCAGGCAGAUAAGGAUUUAAGAGCCUCAUAUUCAAGUCACUUGGACAAUGUCUUCCUUCAACACUCAUGGCGGCUGUGAAUUUGUGCACAAAGUGACCACUUUAUUUGUUAAGCCUGUCUAAUAGCAGGUUAUUCACCAGUUUUCUUGAUGUGGUUAUGAACUCAACAAGGAAUCAAGCUGACGAGCUGAAUGGCAGAGCUGUCAAAAGAGAAAGAGAAAAUUAAGGUGGAAGGAAUGGUCUCUACACGGCUGUGUUCAAGAGUGGAAGCUGCUAGUCCAUCAGUACUGGCUGAGGUGGCGGAUCAGAAGGAUAUGGUGGGCUGUGUCCGUUGGAUGUCUGAGGUCCUGAUGAGGAUCGGGAAAAAGAGUAAGAAAGGAGAACACGUGUGAUUUACCUUUAGGUAUUAGAUUGUAACCUAUGUAUUGGUUUGCA